rnacentral:rRNA from 1 species
AGAGUUUGAUCCUGGCUCAGAACGAACGUUGGCGAGAUGUUUUAAGCAUGCAAGUCGAGCGGCAGCACUUCGGGUGGCGAGCGGCGAACGGGUGCGUAACGCGUGGAUCAUCUGCCCCUCAGACUGGGAUAGCCAUUGGAAACAGUGGGUAAUACCGGAUAAGCCGAGAGGUGAAAGGCCUUGAGUCACUGAGGGAUGAGUCCGCGUCUGAUUAGCCAGUUGGUGGGGUAAUGGCCUACCAAAGCGACGAUCAGUAGCCGGCCUGAGAGGGUGAACGGCCACAUUGGGACUGAGAUACGGCCCAGACUCCUACGGGAGGCAGCAGCUAAGAAUAUUCCGCAAUGGGCGAAAGCCUGACGGAGCAAUCUCGCGUGAAGGAUGAAGGCCCUCGGGUUGUAAACUUCUUUCGGCAGGGAAGAAUAACUGACGGUACCUGCAGAAGAAGCACCGACUAAUUACGUGCCAGCAGUCGCGGUAAUACGUAAGGUGCAAACGUUGUUCGGAAUCACUGGGCGUAAAGGGUAUGUAGGCGGCCAUGUAAGUUAGUGGUGCAAAGCUGGUGCUUAACUCCAGCCCUGCCACUGAAACUGCAUGGCUAGAGUUGUAAUAGAGGUUGCAGGAAUUUCCGGUGUAGGAGUGAAAUCUGUAGAUAUCGGAAGGAACACCAAGGGCAAGGCAAGCAACUAGGUAACGACUGACGCUG